UACGGAGGGUGCAAGCGUUGUCCGGAUUUAUUGGGUUUAAAGGGUGCGUAGGUGGCUAUUUAAGUCAGUGGUGAGAGCCUGCAGCUUAACUGUAGGACUGCCAUUGAUACUGAAUAGCUUGAGUACUGAUGAGGUAGGCGGAAUUGAUAGUGUAGCGGUGAAAUGCAUAGAUAUUAUCAAGAACACCGAUUGCGAAGGCAGCUUACUAAGGAGUUACUGACACUGAGGAACGAAAGCGUGGGGAUCAAACAGG
rnacentral:rRNA from 1 species